GGGCUUCAGGCCCAUAGCAACUCUAGAACCAAACGGACGCCCCCGCCUCCCUUCUCCUGCCUUCGGGCGCCGGGAGCCCGCUGGGUGUUGGCGGGGACCCUCGGCAAGGCGCCCCCUCGCGGCCGCCCGGCAACAGGCCUGGGAGCCGGGAAAUCGUGGGAGCUCCGGGCAGGACAUGUGACACGGGAGCCUCUCCCUCCUUCUCGCCCUCCUCCUCUCCCCGCUCCUCCUCCUCUUCACCUUCCCCUCCUCUUUUCCUUCCUCCUGUCCCUUCCCCUCCUCCCCUCCCCGAUUUCUUCUUUUUAGUUUCUGCAGUUUGUCUUCUAAAUUAAUAUAUUUAAAUUUUAAAUAGGUACUAGAUUAACACAGCUUAGGGUUUUUUUUCAAGUAUUCAAAGGUCUUCAUCCUAGAAAAACAUCAGACAAAUACCGAGACUGAGGGACAUUCUACAAAACGGCUGACCAGUCUUCCUGAAAAACGGUCAAGGCCGUCAAAGAUCAAGGAAAGCCUGAGGAAGUGUCCCAGCCAAGAAGGGCUUAAGGACACGUGAUCGUGAAAAGUAAUGUGGGAUCCUGAAGGGAACCUUGAACAGAAAAAGGGAGAAACUAAGGGAAUCUGAAUCAAGAUGGAGUUCAGUCAAUAUCCUGUCAACACUGUUUCCUUCAUGUAACAAAGGUGUGCAAUUUUUUUGCAAUUCUAACAAGACUUCAGGGACAACCAUGGCCUUGGGCCCCCGAAUCUCUCGGCCUCUCUGUCCUUGAGUCCGUCGGUCCAUCAUAUCGUCUCAUCUUCUGAGCGCUUCAGACUUGCAGCCCUUCCGCGUGCCUCUCAUUGGCUGGCCUCAGCCCGCGGCGCCGGGAGGACCCCGGUUCUGCGGUGGGGCCGGAAGAUGUGCAUGUGCGUUUUCACAUCGUGAUCUGCGCGCCCACUCCAACCCUUUGAGGCCGGGAGUGUCCCUGUGGACGCAGCAUCCAGCACAGGGCGGCGAACACAUGUGCACGAGCUGGAGCUGUCAGUAGAGGGCGCUGGAGGACGCGGCAGCAGGAAUGGGCUGCUCUCCCUAGCUGCAAUGUGCUGUGGCGCUUAUCCUUGCUCGUGCUUCACGGUCCGUCAGCAGUAGAGGGGUUUCCCAUGGCCCUCUCGACAUGGACCGUGCUGGACAACCAGGCCACACGCCACGCUGACAUCACUCGAGGUCCUGAUGCAGUCUCUGUAUGCUGUCACCCAGGGGCCUCGAAUUGCCUGAACCCAAGGCUUCCUUCCUGCUGCCUGGGCACCCAGCAACCUCUCCCUUAUGCAGCGCUCUGCAACCGCACCUCCCCCUACGAGGGCUGCACCUGAGCCUCGGGAGGGAGGGGCCUCCCUUCCCGCUCUGUCCCUCCUGGGUGCUCUCCCUCAGUCCUAGGCACCCUUGAAUUCUCUCUACAUCUUUAUAGUUACUCGCCAAUCAUAGUUGAGUAACUCUUUAUAUUAAACUUUUC
rnacentral:lncRNA from 1 species